UACGGGGGGGGGUAAGCGUUGUUCGGAAUUACUGGGCGUAAAGGGCUCGUAGGCGGCCAACUAAGUCAGACGUGAAAUCCCUCAGCUUAACUGGGGAACUGCGUCUGAUACUGGAUGGCUUGGAUUUGGGAGAGGGAUGCGGAAUUCCAGGUGUAGCGGUGAAAUGCGUAGAUAUCUGGAGGAACACCGGUGGCGAAGGCGGCAUCCUGGACCAAUAUUGACGCUGGAGGAGCGAAAGCCAGGGGAGCAAAGCGGG
rnacentral:rRNA from 1 species